UAAAUCAAUCCUAACAGCUAUUUUUAUUGCUCUCAGAAAAAAUCAAACACAGAGUGGAUCUAAGCAGCAUUUUGCUAUAAAAUGAAGGGCUAUAAAUAUUAAAAUAAAUACCACAAAAUAUUUUGUCUGAAGCUCUACCAGCCAAGUGCCCCACCCAUCAUCUACCAGUACGAGGGGAAUAUUAUUAAAUGUGAAGGUAUUCUGCUAAUAUUGUUUUAUCUCAGGAUGGUCAUUUUUUUCCAUCAUUGGACUGUGGCCAUGCUGGGGCAUCACCUUCA